rnacentral:rRNA from 1 species
GACGAACGCUGGCGGCGUGCCUAAUACAUGCAAGUCGAACGCAGUUGCGAACGGGUGAGUAACGCGUAGGUAACUGCCUCAUAGCGGGGGAUAAAUAUUGGCAACACUAGGUAAUACCCCAAACUGUGCGAUGGACCUGCGUUGUAGUAGCUAGUUGGUGAGGUAAAGGCUCACCGAGGCUACGAUAUAUAGCCGACCUGAGAGGGUGAUCGGCCAAACGGGGACUGGGACACGGCCCAGACUCCUACGGGAGGCAGCAGUAGGGAAUCUUCGGCAAUGGACGGAAGUCUGACCGAGCAACGCGGCGUGAGUGAAGAAGGUUUUCGGAUAAUAAAGCUCUGUUGUUAGGGAAGCGGUAAAUAACCAGAAAGGGACGGCUAACUACGUGCCAGCAGCCGCGGUAAUAG